AGUGCAAUUGCUGGGUCAUAGGGUAGUUUUAUUUUUAACUUUUUGAGGAACCGCCAUACUGUUUUCCAGAGUGGCUGUACCAGUUUGCAUUCCCACCAGCAGU
rnacentral:pre_miRNA from 1 species